UAACGCGAAGAACCUUACCAAGGCUUGACAUACACGAGAACGGGCCAGAAAUGGUCAACUCUUUGGACACUCGUGAACAGGUGGUGCAUGGUUGUCGUCAGCUCGUGUCGUGAGAUGUUGGGUUAAGUCCCGCAACGAGCGCAACCCUUGUUCACUGUUGCCAGCACGUUAUGGUGGGGACUCAGUGGAGACCGCCGGGGUCAACUCGGAGGAAGGUGGGGAUGACGUCAAGUCAUCAUGCCCCUUAUGUCCAGGGCUUCACGCAUGCUACAAUGGCUGGUACAGAGAGUGGCGAGCCUGUGAGGGUGAGCGAAUCUCGGAAAGCCGGUCUCAGUUCGGAUUGGGGUCUGCAACUCGACCUCAUGAAGUCGGAGUCGCUAGUAAU
rnacentral:rRNA from 1 species